UGGCGAACGGGUGAGUAACACGUAGGUAACCUGCCUGACACAGGGGGAUAAUCCGAAGAAAUUUGGUCUAAUACCCCAUAAUACCGAUAUAGGCAUCUAUGUUGGUUGAAAGCUUUGGUGGUGUCAGAUGGGCAUGCGUUGUAUUAGCUAGUUGGUGAGGUAACGGCUCACCAAGGCGACGAUACAUAGGGGGACUGAGAGGUUAACCCCCCACACUGGUACUGAGACACGGACCAGACUCCUACGGGAGGCAGCAUG
rnacentral:rRNA from 1 species